AUGGUAUCCCCCCACCUCCCACUCCGGCUCCGCCACCUCCGCCGCCUUCUCUCCACCGCGCCCUUGUCCUCUCUCUCCUCCGCAUACUACUCGCACCCCUGCUCCCCGCCGCCGAACCGCACUCGAACCCCGCCCCCGCGGCCCCAUCCCCGAGACAUCCCGCCGGCGCGAUGGUUCUCCUCCCCCGGGCACGUCCUCCUCCCCACCAACCUCCAGGAGCAGCACGUCGCGUCUCUCUCUGACAAGAUCUACGACGCGGUGACGGAGACAGAGGAGGGCUCCAACGAGGGCACGGAGGCGGCCCUCGACGCGCUGGGCGCCUCCCUGACCACCCCGCUCGUGGCCGACGUCAUGCACCGCCUCCGCUACGAGGAGAAGCUGGCCUUCCGGUUCUUCGCCUGGGCCUCGCAGCAGGACAACUACCAGCACGAGCAGCGCGCCUACAACGACAUGAUCGACAUCCUCUCCGGCACGCGCUACAAGUCCCGCCAGUUCGGCGUGCUCUGCGACGUGCUCGACCACAUGAAGCGCCACGGCACCAGGUCCGUCCCGGUCGAGGACCUGCUGGCCAUCCUCCGCGCGUACACGGAGAAGCACCUCGCCAACCUCAGGAAGCUGGCCAAGAAGCGCCGGGCGCGGAUGCGCACGCCGCCGGAGACCGACGCGCUCAACAUCCUGCUCGACUCCUUCUGCAAGUGCGGGAUGGUCAGGGAGGCGGAGACGGUGUUUGGCCGCGUGAAGAGGAAGCUGCAGGGGAACGCCGAGACGUACAGCAUCCUCUUCUUCGGGUGGUGCCGCGCGAGGGACCCCAAGAAGGCCAUGAAGGUGCUCGAGGAAAUGAUCCAGAUGCAGCACACCCCGGAGAACUUCACCUACAUUGCUGCUAUCGACUCCUUCUGCAGCGCUGGUUUGGUCUCGGAGGCAAGGGAGCUGUUUGAGUUCAUGAGGACCGAGGGAUCCAAGAUAUCGUCCCCCACUGCUAAGGCCUACUCUAUUAUGAUUGUGGCGCUGGCAAAGGCUGAUCAGAUGGACGAGUGCUUCGAGCUGAUUUCAGAUAUGACGAAACGUGGCUGCAUGCCUGAUGUAUCAACCUUUAAAGACUUGAUUGAAGGCAUGUGUUUGGUGGGCAAAGUCGAUGCUGCUUACUGUGUUUUGGAGGAGAUGGGGAAGGCUGGGUUUCCUCCUGACAUUGUCACUUACAAUUGCUUUCUUGAGGUGCUUUGUAGUCUUCAAAAGCCUGAUGACGCGCUCAAACUCUGUGAGAGGAUGAUAGAAGCACGCUGUGAGCCCAGCGUUCAUACUUACAAUAUGCUGAUGAUGAUGUUCUUCACGAUGAGAGAGCCACAUAGGGCGCUCGAUAUUUGGAUUGAGAUGGACAAAAGAGGAUGUCGACGUGCUGUUGAUACCUAUGAAAUCAUGAUUGAUGGGCUGUUUGAUUGUGGGAGAGCAGAAGAUGCAACCGCUCUUCUGGAUGAAGUAAUAAACCAUGACAUGAAACUGUCGUACAAGAAGUUCGAUGCUAUCAUGUUACAAUUAUCAGCUGUUGGCAACCUCGGUGCAAUACAUCGGCUUUCGGAGCAUAUGAGAAAAUUUUACAAUGUUGCAAUGUCAAGACGUUUUUCCAUCACACAGAAGAAGAAGAGCAUUGGUAUUAGAAGGAGAUGAGUUCUGCAAGAUUUAUUGUUAGCACAGAUAAUCAAUAGGUUAUAUGAGUCAUUUUUUACAGGGUGGUUGAUACCUGCCUGCACAUUUUGUCAGAGCAGUUUCCAGUGGAAGAAGCAGCAUAUGAACUGAAAUACUUUGCAGAAAGAAACAGGUGAUUGGCUUGCCUACUUUUCUCGGAGCUUCUGUGAGAUAUUCAUGUUCACUUUAAUGAUGGCAUAAUAUUACCUGAACAUCAUUAGUUUUUGGACAAGUUCAUCGAUUAAACUAACCAAGGGUGGUUGAUACAUGCCUUCACAUUUUGUCGGCACAAUUUGUAGUGGAAGGAGCAUAUCUGAACUGAAAGUCUGAAAUAGUUUGCAAAAAGAAACAGGUGACAGCUAUCGUUGAGAACACACCGGGACAAAGUUUCAUGUCGGGCUUUGGCUUCCUAGCCCCAUACCAGCAGUGGUGCUGUGUGACCUGUGAGCUAGUCAGCUAGGCCUAGGAUGGCAUAGCUGCAUGUGGAGGAGCACCUGGACUGAAGUGCCCCACACGAAGUACCGGGACCGAAAGCUCGGUACACCAUCGUGCAGUGCGGUGCAGACAGGGCCGGAGGACGGUGACUGCGAGCUCUCAUGAGUCCCGAGGUAGCUGAAUAUGGGUAUGGCUGGGUCUGACGGAAACGAUGUCUCUGCCAAGUGAUCUUCAGUUUCCAUGCCAUGCCCUGCGUGAUUCCCUGGGUCAUGUAUGUGUCCUGUUUUUUUACAGUAUUUGCUUUCAUUUGGCUGGUUGUAUUUUUUCAGACGAUUUUUUGUCCGAUGCGACACUUUUUGUUAGAUUUUUUUUUGUAUCAAGCUAUCAGCAAUAACCGGAGCAAGAGAAUGUACCAAUUGAAAAGGACGAGAUCGACAAAAGAAAAAUGUUGCUGCAUCUUUUUAAUCUGAAAUGGGGCAAAAGUUUUGCAACAAUCUAUUAA